rnacentral:rRNA from 1 species
GACGAACGCUGGCGGCGUGCUUAACACAUGCAAGUGGAGCGACGAACCAGGCUUCGGCCUGGGGCAGAGCCGCGAACGGGUGAGUAACACGUGGGUAACCUGCCCCGAUGACUGGGACAACCCGAGGAAACUCGGGCUAAUACCGGAUGUGCUGCUCUCGCUCAAGUGAGAGUAGGAAAGGAAGCUUCGGCCUCCGCAUCGGGAUGGGCCCGCGGCCCAUUAGCUUGNGGUGAGGUAACGGCUCACCAAGGCUUCGAUGGGUAGCUGGUCUGAGAGGACGAUCAGCCACACUGGGACUGAGACACGGCCCAGACUCCUACGGGAGGCAGCAGUGGGGAAUCUUGCGCAAUGCGCGAAAGCGUGACGCAGCAACGCCGCGGUGGGGGAAGACGGCC